rnacentral:antisense_RNA from 1 species
AGAGCUGAGAAUUGUUGCCUUCAGGGAAAUAUAAUCAAUGUCAAGCAAACAACCACCCCAAAAUGGAAUGUCAGCCAUUAACCUCACAGUAGGUGACGAAAAGAUAUUACUUUUUCUCCCCUAUACUACCCAAGCCAGCCACCUCAAGAAAGAACAGUUCAUGUGCAGGUGACCAUGUAGUUCAAGUCAUCAUUAAAUCCAAAGCUGAGCAGCCAUGAUGCUAUUGGUGGAAUUGCCCUUGACCAAGAGAAAUCCAUCUUGAUUGUCUCAAUAAUUGGCUCAAGGGCCAUUGAUGAUGAGGUCCUAAAUUUAAUUCCUAAUAAAACCCCUGAAGUUUUAGAGGCAAAAUGAGAAAGCAUAGCUCACAAAUACCUUGACCAAUGACUUGCAGAACCAACCCCUCCUCUUCUUCCUCCCCCUCAGCCUAUUCAAUGUGAAAAAGAUGAGGGCGAAGACCUUUAUGAUGAUCCAAGUAAUGAACACACUGGAGAAAGUCAAACAGUCAAAACAAUGUCCCAGACUCCGUGAAGUUCCUGGGUAGAGAAGUAGACAGACGUACACCAUACCUAAUAAUUGGAGGUCCAAGAGAAUGAGAGAAUGGCAGAAAGAACUUUAGAGCAUGGGUAUGAUGGCUAGAGCUUGAGCAGCCAUUGUGGACAUCAGAUGAACCUGAA